UUCGACAUGAAAUAUCAAAAC
rnacentral:piRNA from 1 species